CCUACGGGGGGCUGCAGUGGGGAAUAUUGGACAAUGGGGGCAACCCUGAUCCAGCCAUGCCGCGUGUGUGAAGAAGGCCCUCGGGUUGUAAAGCACUUUCAGUGAGGAAGAACGCCUGGUGGUUAAUACCCAUCAGGAAAGACAUCACUCACAGAAGAAGCACCGGCUAACUCCGUGCCAGCAGCCGCGGUAAUACGGAGGGUGCGAGCGUUAAUCGGAAUUACUGGGCGUAAAGCGCGCGUAGGUGGCUUGAUAAGCCGGGUGUGAAAGCCCCGGGCUCAACCUGGGAACGGCAUCCGGAACUGUCAAGCUAGAGUGCAGGAGAGGAAGGUAGAAUUCCCGGUGUAGCGGUGAAAUGCGUAGAGAUCGGGAGGAAUACCAGUGGCGAAGGCGGCCUUCUGGACUGACACUGACACUGAGGUGCGAAAGCGUGGGUAGCAAACAGGAUUAGAUACCCCGGUAGUC
rnacentral:rRNA from 1 species